rnacentral:lncRNA from 1 species
UAAUGAUCUUUUGUCUUUCUAUAACAAAUAUAUGAUGUAAUUACUUACCUUUGUUCUUCUUACUUUCAAUAUAUGGGUAUUCAUUUUCCUCUCAAAUAAAAAAAAAGACAAAAGAACAAUACAUUAUUUCUAUAAUGAUCAGCAUGUAGCAAAUGGCAUCAUUAGGAAUAUGAUUCAUUCCUUCCGGUCAUUUAAAUGAUUGGGGUUUGAGUUUGUUUGUAUCCUCUACUUGGGAAUUUGAUUUCAUAAGUUAAAGAUGAUGUGAUUAUUUUUCGAUUAGGUUCUAAUCAUGAUUCAUGACACUUACCAGACCACCUGACUUAAAGCAUACCAUAUCUUGUGUUUCAUGAGCUGUCCUUUUCCCUUUUAAUUUAAAAUGGGUAUGAUUGCACUUCCAUAAAGACUCUUUACCACAUAAAGGCCCCAAAGAAGAGCACAUUUUCUUUUACACUGAACUUUUCUCUUAUUGCCUCAUACUUUGCAAAACUUGUCAGUGUCUUCUCUCUAUCAACAAUCUCUUAGUGGGAUUAAAAUGAGUUCAAGAGAUGCGCCUGGUUAGGUCCCUCCGCAAUGCCCAAUAUUGAAUCCAAUUCAUGGUCCCAUGCAAGAGUGGCCCACAUU